rnacentral:rRNA from 1 species
UACGAAGGGGGCUAGCGUUGUUCGGAUUUACUGGCGUAAAGCGCACGUAGGCGGAUUGGUCAGUUAGGGGUGAAAUCCUGGAGCUCAACUCCAGAACUGCCUUUAAUACUGCCAGUCUCGAGUCCGGAAGAGGUAAGUGGAACUCCUAGUGUAGAGGUGGAAUUCGUAGAUAUUAGGGAAGAACACCAGUGGGCGAAGGCGGCUUACUGGUCCGGAUCUGACGCUGAGGCGCGAAAGCGUGGGGAGCAAACAGG